GCGCUGCGAUCGGCUUUUCGGCAAUACCCGGAUGGAAGCAUAAUGGCCGCCAUCAGGGACUCGCAGGCAAUGGGGACCACGACAGAUAUCAUCUCUUCUUUUGAUCACUGCUCCUGAUUGUGGCUUUGUCCAAGCAUUAAAUUGUGUGCCUUUUGUUCCUUGAAGAAAGAGCUGGUGCUAGCAACCCCCAACUGUGUCUGGUCUCUGGACCCAGCUCAAAGCUCUGGAUUCAUUCUCUUCCCAUACCUCAGCCUGAGCCUUCUGUCACCCCAAAGGGCUUCACACAAGCUUCCUCUCAAGCCCUCACUUCUCUCACAAGAUGAAGAAACUAAAACACAGAGAUUGAGGCUUGUCUAGAGUAACACAAACCAAUGAGGAAACUGAGGUGCAGAGAAGUCAAACCUUGCCCAGUGUUACAGAGCAGAGCUGGAAGUAAAGCUUGUAUUUCCUGAGAUCCAGAUUAGUGUUAUUUCUACUUCAGACUAUUACUUCUUGGAGAUUAGCAAUUGGGUCACCACUUUGUACCAGGGAUGGUUCAUGCCUCAAAUACCCCAAGGAUGGAGUCCUUAUUGUCAACUGGGUGAUGAGGAAACAAGCUAGAGAGGAUACUAAGAUACUCCAGCUGGAAGAGACAGUGUUGCACUGGACCCCCACGUGGCUCAGAUGUGAAGAGCCAGCCUUAGCCGAUACCUGAUAUUGUUCUUCGUGCCUUCAUUGUACUUACUUGGCAGAGGGUGUGUUAAAAUCUGGGUAUGUCCAAAGGUCUGUCUCCUGCAUGGAAGAAAGUUUGAGAACUACUGAUCUCCCAUUACAGGAACCCAAAAUAAAAGCAGUAAGAACUCAAAGAUGCAAAUAAAUGAUGAUAGACUUCAGGGUUUCUUGAGGUGCAGAGAAAUUCAGAAGUUUGAAUCUCUGAAGAUUGUGUUUCAAGUUUGUGGCAAGUUACUUCGAGCUGCCACGUGAGAUGUUUUGUUCAUGACUUUACAACAUGGUAAUUUCAGGAGAAACAAUGAACACUUUGGUUCCCCACAGCCUGAUGAGCUUUGACCACCCCUGCUUUUGCCCCCGUCCUCCAGGAGACUUCCUUCCUAGGUCAGAAGAGGCCACUCACCCGCUUUGGGUUUGGAUGGCCAUUGCCUCUACUCUUGAAAUGAGAGUCCACGCUCCUGCACUGGGAGCCGUUUGGGAAUGAGGACACCCAAGCCGCAUGGGACAUGCCAAGAGCCUGUUCUCUGAUGGUUUUCAGAAGCUUCUGAAGCCAUGAAAUUUGCACAGGGUUGUACUUACUUCCUACAGAGGCUCACCCUAACGCUCCAUUAUCACUCCAAGCUCCCUGCUCAACAGGCAUGGAAGACUGUAAGGAAUGGAAGGACAGCAAGGCAAAAGCAUCAGGAAAGGCAGAAGAAAGCAAGACAAAGGAAGGGAGCGGUACCUCAGGAACAGCCUGGGAGAAAGAUGUGGGAAAUGAUGUAAAAAACUCAACAGAGCAGUCAAAGCAGACAGAUGGGACUGAACUGUCUUCUGUGGGAUGAAUAUAGUUUUCAUCUGCA